GUGCUGCGUAGCUCAGCGGAUAGAGUGCCCGUAGUUGGGAGGUCGCUGGUUCGAAACCAGCCGAGCACA
rnacentral:tRNA from 1 species